CUAAGUUUGAUGGCGACCGGCGCACGGGUGAGUAACACGUAUCCAACCUGCCGAUGACUCGGGGAUAGCCUUUCGAAAGAAAGAUUAAUACCCGAUGACAUAGUUCUUCCGCAUGGUGGAACUAUUAAAGAAUUUCGGUCAUCGAUGGGGAUGCGUUCCAUUAGGUUGUUGGCGGGGUAACGGCCCACCAAGCCUUCGAUGGAUAGGGGUUCUGAGAGGAAGGUCCCCCACAUUGGAACUGAGACACGGUCCAAACUCCUACGGGAGGCAGCAUG
rnacentral:rRNA from 1 species